GAGAGAAGGAACUUGGAAUUAAGAAGAAACUUCCUAACAGUGAGGACAAUUAACCAGUGGAACAGCUUGCCUUCAGAAAUCGUGGGUGCUCCAUCACUGAAUUAUAAAAAGAGGUUAGUUAGACAGUCACUAUUCUGUUUGCAUUCAGAGGUUGUGGCUGCUUCAUCAAUAGAGGAUUUUAAGAAGAGACUGGACAGCGACUUGUCUCAAAUUGUAUAGGUUCUCCUGCUUGAGCAGGGGGCUGGACUAGAAGACCUCCAAGGUCCCUUCCGGCUCUCUAUUCUGUUCUAAGAUUAUGGAACCCUCUUACUGCUCUGGGCCAUUAGCCACCUUGGAAAAUUGGAAUUCCUGGAAAGUGGAAAUCUUGUUUCAGCAAGGACCAAGUGUUGGAGCAAAGAUGCUCUGGGCACCUUCACCAGAAAGAUCUCCUGCAGGAGAACCAUGGGAAAGUACAGAGAUCCUCUCCAGCAGAGCCAAGGGGGCAAGCGGGCAGGACCAAGGCAGAACAAAAACACCCAAGAUUGUAACCCACAAAGAGCCUGCAGGGAGAGCCAUAUAAAGGGAGGACAUUCCUAAUGCUCUAAAAUGCCUGAUUCUGGCUUGGGAGUCCCUGGGAAAGAGUGAGAGUAAAUCUUAGUUCUUAAAGUAGGACAGUCAAUUGCCAGGUGGUCUACAAUCCCCAAAAUGGGUAGGGGACAUUUUGGGGGAAGGUGAGGAGGAGCCGCUUCUCUUUCUGCUGGGAGCGCUCACAUUCUGCUGGAGGCUUUCAAUCACUCCAUAAUUUGGUCUUUUCCUUAUCAUGUUGUUCCGAAGCUGAUCAAGCUGACCUUGAUUGCAUCGAUAAGAUAGGGACCACUGAGGUAUGAAGCAUGUUUUCUCCGCUUGGCAGGACCUAUUUCGGUGCAACAUGUACCCAGAAUAUAGUUAAUAAGUGCACAGGAGACUGUCUCAUUUUUUUAAAAAAACUGCUGUCUUCUAUAUAAAUCUGAGGAGCAGAUUCUCUGCGGACCUCUGAGAAACCUACUACGGCUUGUCAUUCCUCCUAGUAAAAGUUUCUGGGUGUUCCCCAAAUCCAAGAUGAGAAUUUUCGUCAGCUUGAUUAUCUUCUCUUUCCUGAUGGCAGCAUGUCAAGUAGCCUCCCUGCCAAAAUCCCAUAUGGACUGGAAGAGAAGAGGGGUGCGAACCUCGUGUAUUGACCCAUUUGAUGGCGAAAGUCAUAGAAUUGGUUCGACCUGGCGUACCAUGCAUUGCUUCACGUGCACCUGCCAUAGAAGUGGAUUGCAGUGCUCCCAGAGAGAGUUUUCUUCAGCUUGACUAUCUUCUCUUUCAUGCUGGCUGCAUGUCAAGAACCUCAUAAAGCCAAGCUUCAAAAAGGGAGGUCAACCACGUGCAUUGAUACGUGGGAUGGGUCAGAACAUCCCUUUGGUUCUCGGUGGAAGACACGUGACUGCCACAAAUGCGUGUGCCUUUUUGGUGGAAUGCAGUGCUACCCAAGAGAGUCUUCUUCAGUCAGAUCAUCUCUCUUUCAUGCUGGCUACAUGUCAGCUUUUCUGAUCCCUUUACACCUGAGCUUAAAGAUGGUAAGCAAGCUCCUUAUUCAUCCAAUUGACUGAUGCUGAAUUUGUCAAUGCCGACAGUGUUCAAGAGGAGCUUCAGUUGCUUUGAAAUUGCACCCAGGGUGCCUAUUACUGUUAGUAGUACCCUUGCUUGUUUUUGCCACAGUCGAUCUAUUUGCAUUUCAGUCUGGCUUCAGGGACCACCCUGAAGCCAGACUCAAAAGGGUCUGGAUAAUUUGCUUCAGUUUGGUCCCUCUGUUGCUGGAUACCAUCCUCUCUUUCAAUAAUCUUCCUCCAAAGGAAGUGAUAUAUUUGAGUCCUUUCUUUGUACGGUGUUUCCUGCAGGGUCUUUUACAAUCUUGGGAGUUUUUGUCCUGCUCUGCUCCUGCCCAUUUGCUCUCUGGCUCUGCUAGAGGAGAGCUUCAUACUUUCCCAUGGACCUUUUGUAGGAGAUGUUUCUGGUGAAGGUGCAAAGAGUGCUUUGCUCCAACUCUUGAUCCUUGCUGAAACAAAAUUUUCACUUUCCAGGAAUUUCAGUAUUGCAAGAUGUUAAAUGGCCCAGAGCAGUAAGAGGCUUCCGUAAUAGUCAAUUUCCUUCUAGUGCAGUUAUUGGCAUUGGCCACAAAUGUUGCUGUAAACCACUUCUAAAGCAUAAGAUGGGUUUUUUUUCUUCUCAAGAAAUAUGCAUCUGAUCACUUUUGCUAUUAAACAGCAGGAAUUGAACCAUGCAUGGCUUUAUUUCUGGACACUUUAGCCAAAGUUUCCACUUCAAUUUAGAAGCUUCAAAUUCUCACAUUCUGCUGGAGGCUUUCAAUCUCACCAUUAUUUGGUCUUUUUCAAGCCAUAUUGUUUUAAAGCUGAAAAAAUACUUUCUCUUUAUCACAUCUACCAAACAAGCACCAGUCACAUGUUCUUUAGUGUCAUAGGCUUAGGUAAACUGUUUGGGUGACUUGUGUUGCUAUUUUAUGCUGUUUCCUACACCAUGUGAUUUUCAUAAUCCAUAUCACAGUCAAUAUCCUUCCAUUUUGCAGGGUUGACAUUAUCUUCAUGUUUUACGUAAUUCUUACUUAAUAAAAAAAAGACAAAAAAAGAUUAAGAUGCUGACAAGAGAGAUUUAUUCAGGUACAUUUACACAUGAGAGAU